GAUGAACGCUGACAGAAUGCUUAACACAUGCAAGUCAACUUGAACUUCGGUUUGGGUGGCGGACGGGUGAGUAACGCGUAAAGAACUUGCCUCACAGAUAGGGACAACAUUUGGAAACGAAUGCUAAUACCUGAUAUUAUGAUUUUAGGGCAUCCCAGAAUUAUGAAAGCUAUAUGCGCUGUGAGAGAGCUUUGCGUCCCAUUAGCUAGUUGGAGAGGUAACGGCUCACCAAGGCGAUGAUGGGUAGCCGGCCUGAGAGGGUGAUCGGCCACAAGGGGACUGAGACACGGCCCUUACUCCUACGGGAGGCAGCAGUGGGGAAUAUUGGACAAUGGACCAAGAGUCUGAUCCAGCAAUUCUGUGUGCACGAUGAAGUUUUUCGGAAUGUAAAGUGCUUUCAGUUGGGAAGAAAAAAAUGACGGUACCAACAGAAGAAGUGACGGCUAAAUACGUGCCAGCAGCCGCGGUAAUACGUAUGUCACAAGCGUUAUCCGGAUUUAUUGGGCGUAAAGCGCGUCUAGGUGGUUAUAUAAGUCUGAUGUGAAAAUGCAGGGCUCAACUCUGUAUUGCGUUGGAAACUGUGUAACUAGAGUACUGGAGAGGUAAGCGGAACUACAAGUGUAGAGGUGAAAUUCGUAGAUAUUUGUAGGAAUGCCGAUGGGGAAGCCAGCUUACUGGACAGAUACUGACGCUGAAGCGCGAAAGCGUGGGUAGCAAACAGG
rnacentral:rRNA from 1 species